rnacentral:rRNA from 1 species
AACGAACGCUGGCGGCAGGCCUAACACAUGCAAGUCGAGCGAGAUCUUCGGGUCUAGCGGCGGACGGGUGAGUAACGCGUGGGAAUAUGCCUCUUGGUACGGAAUAGCCUCGGGAAACUGGGAGUAAUACCGUAUGUGCCCUUUGGGGGAAAGAUUUAUCGCCAAGAGAUUAGCCCGCGUUGGAUUAGGUAGUUGGUGGGGUAAUGGCCUACCAAGCCGACGAUCCAUAGCUGGUUUGAGAGGAUGAUCAGCCACACUGGGACUGAGACACGGCCCAGACUCCUACGGGAGGCAGCAGUGGGGAAUCUUAGACAAUGGGGGCAACCCUGAUCUAGCCAUGCCGCGUGAGUGAUGAAGGCCUUAGGGUUGUAAAGCUCUUUCAGCUGGGAAGAUAAGGACGGUACCAGCAGAAGAAGCCCCGGCUAACUCCGU